rnacentral:rRNA from 1 species
UACGGGGGGUGCGAGCGUUGUCCGGAAUCACUGGGCGUAAAGGGCGCGUAGGUGGCCUGAUAAGGGUGUGGUGAAAGUCCGGGGCUCAACCCCGGAUCUGCCGUGCCGACUGUUGGGCUGGAGCACUGUAGAGGCAGAUGGAAUUCCGGGUGUAGCGGUGGAAUGCGUAGAGAUCCGGAAGAACACCGGUGGCGAAGGCGGUCUGCUGGGCAGUUGCUGACACUGAGGCGCGACAGCGUGGGGAGCAAACAGG